GAGAGGUAACGGCCCACCAAGGCAUCGACGGGUAGCUGGUCUGAGAGGAUGAUCAGCCACACUGGAACUGAGACACGGUCCAGACUCCUACGGGAGGCAGCAGUGGGGAAUCUUGCACAAUGGGCGAAAGCCUGAUGCAGCGAUGCCGCGUGCGGGAAGAAGGCCCUAGGGUUGUAAACCGCUUUCAGGAGGGAAGAAAAUGACGGUACCUCCAGAAGAAGGUGCGGCCAACUACGUGCCAGCAGCCGCGGUAACACGUAGGGAGCAAGCGUUGUCCGGAUUUAUUGGGCGUAAAGAGCUCGUAGGUGGUUCCGUAAGUCGGAUGUGAAAACUCAAGGCUCAACCUUGAGACGCCAUCCGAUACUGCGGUGACUUGAGUUCGGUAGAGGAGUGUGGAAUUCCUGGUGUAGCGGUGAAAUGCGCAGAUAUCAGGAGGAACACCAACAGCGAAGGCAGCACUCUGGGCCGAUGCUGACACUGAGGGGCGAAAGCAUGGGGAGCAAACAGGAUUAGAUACCCUGGUAGUCCAUGCCGUAAACGUUGGGCACUAGGUGUGGGGAUUUAUCAACGAUCUCCGCGCCGUCGCUAACGCAUUAAGUG
rnacentral:rRNA from 1 species